rnacentral:RNase_P_RNA from 16 species
AAACAAACGGAGAUGAUUGUUUCGGCAAGGUGUCUUGAUUGUGCUUGGGAAGGUCUGAGAGAGUCGAUCUCUCUAGGAGGGAAAUGAAGGAAACUUCUAGCUUCUAGACCAGAAAAUACACUCCCUUUUGUGUUGUACAAGAUGAUUUGCUUUUGUAGAUCGGAUACGCGAACCUAGUUCAGGCACAUGAGGGCCAGAUGGAAUUGGAAGUGACUCAGCGCCCGCUAUAAGUCUAAUACACAAGGCAACUCACCGAGUUGUAACUCAAUUCAGACUAUUCCU